rnacentral:rRNA from 1 species
GUCCACGCCGUAAACGAUGAGUACUAGGUGUUGGGGUUCGAUCCCCUCAGUGCCGUAGCUAACGCGUUAAGUACUCCGCCUGAGGACUACGGUCGCAAGACUAAAACUCAAAGGAAUAGACGGGACCCACACAAGCGGUGGAGCAUGUUGUUUAAUUCGACAAUAAACGAGAAACCUUACCCAGGUUUGACAUCCCAAGAAUCCCUGAGAAAUCGGGGAGUGCCGCAAGGAGCUUGGUGACAGGUGCUGCAUGGUUGUCGU